rnacentral:miRNA from 1 species
CGGUUUUCACCUUGAUCUGAG